GCGGUGGGGCAGCUGGUGUUGUGAAUCAGGCCGUUGCCAAUCAGAGAACGGCUACUUCACAACACCAGGGUCACACCCCACCACA
ensembl:miRNA MIR138-1 microRNA 138-1